UAUUGCGCAAUGGACGAAAGUCUGACGCAGCAACGCCGCGUGGGUGAUGAAGCUUCUUGGAGUGUAAAACCCUGUCAGUGGGGAAGAAACGUGCGGAGAGUCACUGCUCCGUGCCUGACGGUACCCACAGAGGAAGUCCCGGCUAACUCCGUGCCAGCAGCCGCGGUAAUACGGGGGGGACAAGCGUUGUUCGGAUUCACUGGGCGUAAAGGGCGCGUAGGCGGGCUUUCAAGUCGGGUGUGAAACCUGCCGGCUUAACCGGCAGCCUGCAUCCGAUACUGUAGGUCUUGAGUACGGAAGAGGAGAGCGGAAUUCCAGGUGUAGCGGUGAAAUGCGUAGAUAUCUGGAAGAACACCAGUAGCGAAGGCGGCUCUCUGGUCCGAUACUGACGCUCAAGCGCGAAGGCUAGGGGAGCAAACAGG
rnacentral:rRNA from 1 species